rnacentral:rRNA from 1 species
GGCGGACGGGUGAGUAAUACUUAGGGAUCUGCCUUUGAGUGGGGGACAACCAUUGGAAACGAUGGCUAAUACCGCAUAAUGUUUACGGACCAAAGGGGGCUUCGGCUCCCGCUCAAAGAGGAACCUAAGCGAGAUUAGCUAGUUGGUGAGGUAACGGCUCACCAAGGCAACGAUCUCUAGCUGUUCUGAGAGGAAGAUCAGCCACACUGGGACUGAGACACGGCCCAGACUCCUACGGGAGGCAGCAGUGGGGAAUAUUGCACAAUGGGGGAAACCCUGAUGCAGCCAUGCCGCGUGUGUGAAGAAGGCCUUCGGGUUGUAAAGCACUUUCAGUUGUGAGGAAAGGUUGGUAGUUAAUACCUGCCAGCUGUGACGUUAACAACAGAAGAAGCACCGGCUAACUCCGUGCCAGCAGCCGCGGUAAUACGGAGGGUGCGAGCGUUAAUCGGAAUUACUGGGCGUAAAGCGCACGCAGGCGGUUUGUUAAGCUAGAUGUGAAAGCCCCGGGCUCAACCUGGGAUGGUCAUUUAGAACUGGCAGACUAGAGUCUUGGAGAGGGGAGUGGAAUUCCAGGUGUAGCGGUGAAAUGCGUAGAGAUCUGGAGGAACAUCAGUGGCGAAGGCGACUCCCUGGCCAAAGACUGACGCUCAUGUGCGAAAGUGUGGGUAGCGAACAGGAUUAGAUACCCUGGUAGUCCACACCGUAAACGCUGUCUACUAGCUGUGUGUGUAUUUUAUACGUGCGUAGCGAAGCUA